CUCAGAAACCCUUACAGAAGAAAGGUUGUUACAAAUGCUCUGGUUGUGUCACUUGUAGUUACAUGUUGACCACAAACCAUUUGCACAUCCAAUUUAGACAAACAGAUCCUCCUUAACCCCUUAAGGACACAUGACAUGUGUGACAUGUCAUGAUUCCCUUUUAUUCCAGAAGUUUGGUCCUUAAGGGGUUAAACAUAGCAUACCUUGUUAGACUGAUUAUGUCAUAUUUAUUUUCAUGCCCUGUGGGUUAUGUUAUGUUCCCAUUUCAGAACAGAUAAUCACGUAAACGCUGGGGAGCUUGAGGCCCCAUAACAAC